rnacentral:misc_RNA from 1 species
CUGAAUAAAACAUUGAUAGGCUGUUGCUGGCAAAUGCAAAUGGUGCACGCCUGUCAUUUUUUUAUUUCUUCCACCUGUGCACUUUUUGUAGACCCUGGAGAAAUUGUCUGAGCAAUCAGAUAGGUAGAGGACUGCUGCAUUUGUUGUUGGCUUUGCCUUGUGUUUCUAGGGUUCUAUGUUAUUAUUCACAUACUCCUAUGGAUGUAAUAGAAUGUUAAUAUAAAGUUGUAAUA